AUGGUUUACAACAAUCAACUUGUUAUUGAUGCAAUAGAUUACUUUAAUGGUGGUGAUAAUUCUUGCCUUAAGAAUGUGAUUCAUGUUAUUCUUAAUGUUGAGAUUGUCACCUCUGAAACUGGUCCUGAUAAUCCCAUGCUUAAUAUCCCUACUCACUUGGAACCUAAAGAGAUUGAUAAUAAAAUUAAUGUAUUUAAAGAUUUCAUUGAAGAUGUCAAUGAAUAUGGUAAUGAAGUUGUUAAAUAG